AGCGAACGCUGGCGGCAGGCCUAACACAUGCAAGUCGAACGAACUCUUCGGAGUUAGUGGCGGACGGGUGAGUAACACGUGGGAACGUGCCCUUUGGUACGGAAUAACUCAGGGAAACUUGAGCUAAUACCGUAUGUGCCCUUCGGGGGAAAGAUUUAUCGCCAUUGGUGCGGCCCGCGUCUGAUUAGCUAGUUGGUGAGGUAAAGGCUCACCAAGGCUACGAUCAGUAGCUGGUCUGAGAGGAUGAUCAGCCACAUUGGGACUGAGACACGGCCCAAACUCCUACGGGAGGCAGCAGUGGGGAAUCUUGCGCAAUGGGCGAAAGCCUGACGCAGCCAUGCCGCGUGAAUGAUGAAGGUCUUAGGAUUGUAAAAUUCUUUCACCGGGGACGAUAAUGACGGUACCCGGAGAAGAAGCCCCGGCUAACUUCGUG
rnacentral:rRNA from 1 species